UACGUAGGGGUGCGAGCGUUUGUCCGGAAUUAUUGGGCGUAAAGAGCUCGUAGGCGGUCUGUCGCGUCGGUCGUGAAAACUUGGGGCUUAACCCUGAGCUUGCGGUCGAUACGGGCAUGACUGGAGUUCGGCAGGGGAGACUGGAAUUCCUGGUGUAGCGGUGAAAUGCGCAGAUAUCAGGAGGAACACCGGUGGCGAAGGCGGGUCUCUGGGCCGAUACUGACGCUGAGGAGCGAAAGCGUGGGGAGCGAACAGG
rnacentral:rRNA from 1 species